UACGUAGGGUGCGAGCGUUGUCCGGAAUUAUUGGGCGUAAAGGGCUCGUAGGCGGUCUGUUGCGUCAGGAGUGAAAACUCGGGGCUUAACCCCGAGCCUGCUUCUGAUACGGGCAGACUAGAGGUAUGCAGGGGAGAACGGAAUUCCUGGUGUAGCGGUGAAAUGCGCAGAUAUCAGGAGGAACACCGGUGGCGAAGGCGGUUCUCUGGGCAUUACCUGACGCUGAGGAGCGAAAGCCAGGGGAGCAAACGGG
rnacentral:rRNA from 1 species